rnacentral:rRNA from 1 species
ACUCCUACGGGAGGCAGCAGUAGGGAAUCUUGCGCAAUGGGCGAAAGCCUGACGCAGCGACGCCGCGUGUGGGAUGAAUGCCUUCGGGUUGUAAACCACUUUCAGCAGGGACGAAGCGAAAGUGACGGUACCUGCAGAAGAAGCCCCGGCUAACUACGUGCCAGCAGCCGCGGUAAU